CAAUCAGUUUUGGGAGCUACAAGAGACUUCAGCUUCUAGUAUGUCAACAACCCUCCAUUGCUCAACCUUCAUGGCUUUGGGGACCUGCUUCAGUGCUCCUAGUCUUUCCUGUCCUAAUGGUACAAGUGGAUUAUAUCAAGGAAAACUUGAGAUUGCUGGAGGCAGCACUGAUUCAUCUGUGGAGGUCAAGGGCUGUACAGCCAUGACUUUUUGCAGGUUGAUAGCGCCAGAAUCUUAAUAAGAGGACCCAUGUUAGUGAAAGAAAGGUGACUGCAGCAGCUAUUCACUCAACCCUGAAAGGCUGAAAAUGGGGUCACCUGUCUUGGUAUUUCAAUUAGGGGGUUACAGCUACUGCUGCCAUUGCUGCUUCAAUCAUUUGCUCAUU
rnacentral:lncRNA from 1 species